ACUUCACCCAUGGUGCUAAAAAUCAGAAGUAUGAAGUUAGACCACAUUACCUCUUUUAGUUACGCCCAUCCUUAUCCUCUGUGCAUGGGUUCUUAGGCUUGGAGCCAACUAAAACUGCAGCAGGUAUUUCCAAUUUAAAGAAUUAACAAACAAAAUGUUCCUGUGAGGCUAAGAGUUUAGUGUGGUUCUAGGAACUAAGAAAGGCCAAAGUUACUUGGGAUUUGUGGAGAAAGGGCCCAAAGUCAUGUGUUGUGGCUGACAAAUUAGGCAGGGGCCACAUAACGAAGCUCUUGAAAGACAUUGAGAGAUGAGAUUUUUAUUCCAGCUGUAUGGCUAGAAACCCCUUUUUUUUUUUUUUUGUACUGGGGUUUGAACCCAGGGCUUCAAAUAUGCUAACCAAAUGCUCUGCCACUGAGCUGCAUUCUCAGCCCUCACCUGAAACUUCUGAGUAAGGGAGACUCGAUCUGAUGUAAAGGACAUACCUGGCCAUGGUGACAAGAACAGAAUGUGAGGGAAAAAUGUAGAAGAAAGAAGACCUAUUGAGAAAGAUGGCAGUGAUCCAGGAAAGAGAUGUCCACAGCCUGGAUCAGGGUGGUAUCAAGAAGGACAGUGAGGAGGCCCCAGAUCGUGCAUAUGUUUUGAAAUAUUUUAAAUAUCUAUGACAGAUUUUAUGAAGGAUCAGAUAGGGAAAGGAGAGAAGGAGAAAGUGAAGAAUGAUUCCAAUCUGUUUGUUUGUUUUAGUGUUACUGAGGAUUGAAUGCAGGCCCUUGUAUAUUCCAGGCAACUUCUCUGUCACAGAGCUAUACCCCCAGCCCAGUCUCCAGAUUGUUACCCUGAGCAAUUUAGUAAACAAUAAUGUCAUUGACAAAGAAGGGAUAUGCUGGAGGAAGAGAAAAUGUGAUGGGAAUCAAGAGUUCAGGUCCCAUCCAUCAAAGUUGAAAUCGGUGUAUGUUUCACAUGGGAGCUGAAAAAUGCUUAGCGACAAUGACGAUAAUAACCUAAUUCCGAAAACAAAGAAGCAUGGACUAAUGACAUUGAAAGACAGGAGAAAGAAGAGGAAGCAAAGAAGAAGGAAGAGGAUAAUCAAGAACAAGAUGAAGAGAAGAAUUUGGUGACAAAGAUCUAAGCAUCUUUUCUUUGACCUGAAAGUCAACUCAAAGGCCAACUGCAGGACAUUUUUUUUUUUCUGUGUCUCAACUUGCUUAUUUGGUAAAUGGAGAUACAGCUCAAGUUAAUAUAUUUUGCAGAGAUACAUAUGAACAAUUGAUAACAGUGUUAUUCACUCUGAGUGCCCAUCAGGCACAUAUGAUUCCCAUCGAUAAUGAGCUGCCUUCAUUAGUUUCUGAAUGAUUCUGCCUACAGAUUAUAUUUCUUAAAGGUUAUAUUUUGUUUGUUUCCGGUGAAGCUAGAGAUAUUCAUGUGUCACAGUGAUGAUGUCAUAUUUUUAAAAAGAGUAAACCCUUUAUUAUAGUAUAUACAUGCUACAUUACUCCACCAAUGCUAAUAAAUUUGGGGAGAAUUGGUUGCUAAAGAUUUAAGACUUAAGGAGCAAAAUUCCAUACAGUCACCAAAAGGUCCCAAAGCCAUGCAGAUACCUAAGAAUAAUAUAAUCAUUUUUUGUGGCAUUUAUAUGAACAUAAAAUAAAGAAAUGGCUCAAAUAUUCAUUGAAUUACAUUCCCAGGGAGCUUAUACAAAAUAAAGUGACAAUAUAUCAUACACUGACUAGUACAAAUUGCUUUCCAAACUGGAUAUUCAUAGAGGGC
ensembl:lincRNA